GGGGAGGUGGCAGAGUGGUCGAAUGCGGCGGUCUUGAAAACCGUUGAACGUUAACGCGUUCCCAGGGUUCGAAUCCCUGUCUCCCCGCCA
rnacentral:tRNA from 1 species